AUAACCAUCGAUUUGUUCUUACUUUACUAGUUAUGGUUACUUCUUCGACACAGUCGAUGACGAGAUCUAAAAUAGAACCAUCGUCGAGGAUAGAGAGAGAAAUAUUGAGGGCUCAUGCCUUUUUUUAUGUGUAUUUGGAUAUUGAAAUAUCGAUGAUGUUGACGAAAGUUUUGAGACGGCUAAGGAAGAAAUGGAUUCACUUUUUAGAAUGAUAACACAUCGCUUUCGAUACUCGACGAUUUUAUCAAUUGCCAAAAAAUUUAGAUUUCUCACUGUAGAAGCUGAGAGAUGCUUUCCACCUCUCCAACAACCAAUGACCCACUGAUACAGAUUCCCAAAAUCUUUUUAUCCCUUGACAACAAUCCAUUAUGUUUAAACCUUUUUAUUAUUGUUUGCAUAUAUUAAUUGUAGCACCAUCACCUUUAAAAAAAACGUGUAUGUGUUAGUGUCGGUGUCCAAAACCAACACCAAUAAUUAUGAUUACAUUUAAUUUAUUUAUUUUCUAAAAUUAUUACCAAUACCGAUACCGAUGUAUCAUGUCGUGUUUUUGGGAUUCGUGUUUUAUAAUAUAUAUGUCUUUCAUUGUCGAUGACAGUCAUUUUGCCACCGGUGAUGACAUAUACUAUAAAUAUUGUAGAUACUCCAUAUUUUAUUGUCAUUGUAGAUCACAGAAUAGUAGUGGGAGAUUCAUCUGAAAUAUUUGGAUUUAGAGAUCAAGAUCCAAGUUACGCUCGGUCUCCCUUUAAGCCGAUAAACAUAAUGGAAAUACAAAUAGUUAUUAAGGCCAUGAUGAUGACGUAUUAUUUCGAACGGGUCGACGUUUCCUCCUCCCAGCGAGAUGGAUUCAGAUGAAGGUUGAUUAUGCAUCGUCAUCUUCCUCAUCUUAUUGUGGAUUAAACUUGAGGUCCAAGUCAUUUUUAUUGGACCCCACAGUGGGUGUCAAAGAUGCUUGUAGAAAAUACAUCGUGUGUAACCUCAAUUGUAUCUAAUUUGUGAAUUAAUCCUCUUUAUUCUUUUUGUAUGUGUAUACAUACAUGCCCAAGCAAAUUCCAUGAUUAUGGUCACUUUGUGAUCAUUAAUGACGAUAUACCAUUGUCUAAGCAAGAUCUUUAUGGUCUUGAUGACCUUGUGUGGUCUUUAUGGCUAUUAUAUAUCUUGUCCUUUUUUCAA